rnacentral:rRNA from 1 species
UACGAAGGGGGGCUAGCGUUGCUCGGAAUCACUGGGCGUAAAGGGUGCGUAGGCGGGUCUUUAAGUCAGGGGUGAAAUCCUGGAGCUCAACUCCAGAACUGCCUUUGAUACUGAGGAUCUUGAGUUCGGGAGAGGUGAGUGGAACUGCCGAGUGUAGAGGUGAAAUUCCGUAGAUAUUCGCAAGAACACCAGUGGCGAAGGCGGCUCACUGGCCCGAUACUGACGCUGAGGCACGAAAGCGUGGGGAGCAAACAGG